rnacentral:rRNA from 1 species
GUCGAACGGAGAGAAAAUACUUAGGUAGAAGCUCUUAGUGGCGAACGGGUGAGUAACGCGUUGGUGACCUGCCCCGAAGAGGGGAAUAACAGUUCGAAAGGACUGCUAAUACCCCAUGAGAUCAUAACGGUUAGAGGCGAUAUGAUAAAAGGAGAAAUCCGCUUUGGGAGGGGCCUGCGUCCCAUCAGCUAGUUGGUAAGGUAAAGGCUUACCAAGGCAGAGACGGGUAGGGGACCUGAGAGGGUGACCCCCCACAAUGGAACUGAAACACGGUCCAUACACCUACGGGUGGCAGCAGUAAGGAAUAUUGCACAAUGGGCGAAAGCCUGAUGCAGCAACGCCGCGUGUGCGAUGAAGGCCUUCGGGUUGUAAAGCACUUUUCGGGGAGAUGAGGAAGGACAGUAUCCCCGGAAUAAGGCUCGGCUAACUACGUGCCAGCAGCCGCGGUAAAACGUAGGAGUCAAGCGUUAUCCGAAUUUACUGGGCGUAAAGCGCGUGCAGGCGGUUUGGUAAGUUGGAUGUGAAAGCUCCCGGCUCAACUGGGAGAGGACGUUCAAUACUGCCGGACUAGAGGGCGACAGAGGGAGGUGGAAUUCCCGGUGUAGUGGUGAAAUGCGUAGAUAUCG